CUCUCCUUGGUGUAGUUGGUUUAUCACGUUCGACUGUAAUUGUUCAAAAUUGUUAUCGAAAGGUCCCUAGUUCGAUUCUGGGAGGGGAGA